UGUCUACCUAGUGUCUGUCCAGUGUCUACCCAGUGUCUACCUAGUGUCUGACUUGGUGGAGACUGGGUAGACACUGGACAGAUACUUGGUGGC
rnacentral:pre_miRNA from 1 species